AGUAGUGGAACUUGCCUUUAUCUGAAGCAUUAUUGGUCAUAUUUAUGAAAAAAGCUUGUGGCAACUGUCUUCUCUGAAUAGCGGUCUUGUGAACACCGGCCUCAGUACAAUAAAGAGGACACUUCACAUUCUACAACACCUAAAAAUAACCCAGAUUCGACAGAACUACACACCCAUCUGAGGCCUACCUGUUUUACUUCAUGAUCACCCCAGAUACUUCUACAAUUAACCCGCUAUGUGUCUGAUGUUGAUGCGGUCUGGGCACUAGUAUCUGUUGGCUUGCUGACUAUCACUGAAGAUGAAGUACUUUUCCAAAUCUUCUCUGCCUUGACCCUGUGUCUUCUGCCAUCAUUGUUCAGUGUAGUACUGCAAAGAACAGUCUCCAGGGUCUACCUCCAACAUCUGCUUCCGGACCGCCAUGUGCUAUGUUUGGAUUACUGGUACAUGUGGAUUACCCUGAUACUGUGAAGAACACUUACAAUAUGAUGCUUGACUUGGGACAGAAAAAAAAAACAUUGGCAACUUGUGUGGCCAACUCAUUGCCAUUCUUAAUCUCAUCAUACUGCUACCUCUGCUGUUUAGCAUAAACAAAAGCAGACUGUUUUUGCUUUGUUUCAAAAUGUUUGUAAUACAAGUUAAAACUGCAUUGAAAUAUUUAAAAAAUAUAUUAUCUUUAACUUUGAACUGACACUACCUUUGAUUUAU
ensembl:lncRNA